rnacentral:snRNA from 1 species
GCGCUUGCUUCGGCAGCACAUAUACUAAAAUUGGAACGGUACAGAGAACAUUAGCAUGGCCCCUGUGCGAGGAUGACAUGCAAAUUCAUGUAGCGUUCCAUUUUUGG